UUAAGUUCAGCGGGUAUCCCUACCUGAUCCGAGGUCAACCGAAAUGAAAUUGUCUACCAGCGCCGCCGGGCCUUGAAGCGGUAUAGAAUUCCCAUACGCUCGGGCACCAAAACGGACGCCGCCACUGCCUUUGAGGCCCGUCCACGGGGGACGAGGCCCAACACACAAGCCGCGCUUGAAGGUUGCAAUGACGCUCGGAC
rnacentral:misc_RNA from 1 species